CGGCCCUACCCGCGAGCUAUCGUCUGGCCUCUGGCGGAGGCCUUGGAGGCUGGGCCAUUGAGCAGCUUGUCUGAGUUUUGAGUCGGACCAGUAAUCAUUUUUCCCUGGGGUCGCGUUGCUGGUUGCCGCAGGCUUGCCGACAUGGAUUCAAGGAGUGCAGAUUAAGAGAAAUUUUUUGUAUUGGAUCACUGGCAAGUUGGGUCAGUGAAAAAGGGAAAGAAAAAGAAGGAAAGGAAAAAGAAAAGUGUUGGAAAAAGAAAAGCAUUGGAAUAAGGAGCAGGAAGAGAAAGAUGAAGAGACAAACAUGAGAGAAAAGAAUGAUCAGUGGGCUGCUGAGUUGGAAACAGACUGUAGGGGGGGCCUGGAAGAAGCAGAGUAACCUGUUAGGAGGCUCCCGCAGAAUCCAAAUGAGAGUUGACGGUGACUCAAACAGCUGUGGAAAAGAUGGGGUGCGGAUGGGUGCUGACUGUGGUCUGGAACCACCUUCAUGUGCCUCCAAAAUUGAUCUAAUCCAGUUCCGACAGUGGUUCCUAUUCUAUUUUUAAUGGCCUCCUGUCAUUGCUUAUUAAAUUGA